UNUGCUGUGAAAGGCCGGGGCUUAANUCCGGUUUUGCAGUGGGUACGGGCUAANUAGAGUGCAGUAGGGGAGACUGGAAUUCCUGGUGUAGCGGUGGAAUGCACAGAUAUCAGGAGGAACACCGAUGGCGAAGGCAGGUCUCUGGGCUGUAACUGACGCUGAGAAGCGAAAGCAUGGGGAGCGAACAGGAUUAGAUACCCUGGUAGUCCAUGCCGUAAACGUUGGGCACUAGGUGUGGGGGACAUUCCACGUUUUCCGCGCCGUAGCUAACGCAUUAAGUGCCCCGCCUGGGGAGUACGGCCGCAAGGCUAAAACUCAAAGGAAUUGACGGGGGCCCGCACAAGCGGCGGAGCAUGCGGAUUAAUUCGAUGCAACGCGAAGAACCUUACCAAGGCUUGACAUGCAUUAGAUCGCGUCAGAGAUGGCGUUUCCCUUCGGGGCUGGUGUACAGGUGGUGCAUGGUUGUCGUCAGCUCGUGUCGUGAGAUGUUGGGUUAAGUCCCGCAACGAGCGCAACCCUCGUUCUAUGUUGCCAGCGGUUCGGCCGGGGACUCAUAGGAGACUGCCGGGGUUAACUCGGAGGAAGGUGGGGAUGACGUCAAAUCAUCAUGCCCCUUAUGUCUUGGGCUUCACGCAUGCUACAAUGGCCGGUACAGAGGGUUGCGAUACUGUGAGGUGGAGCUAAUCCCUUAAAGCCGGUCUCAGUUCGGAUUGGGGUCUGCAACUCGACCCCAUGAAGUCGGAGUCGCUAGUAAUCGCAGAUCAGCAACGCUGCGGUGAAUACGUUCCCGGGCCUUGUACACACCGCCCGUCAAGUCACGAAAGUUGGUAACACCCGAAGCCGGUGGCCUAACCCUUGUGGGG
rnacentral:rRNA from 1 species